GCACCAUAAAGACAAGUUUUAUAGAAAACCAGUGUAUUAGGCCAGGCUGAGCCAGUGUUGAGCACUUCAGUCCCAGGAACAAGUGACAUCUUCAGCACUGCAAGCAUGUUCCAGGCUGUGGCCCUGCUCAGAAUGCAACUCCAGGCAAAGAAAGCAGAAAUAGAAAGGAAAUGGGGCUCAAAAUGGGUCCAGAUCAGUUUCUGAGCACCUGUUGGAAGUGUUGCUGCUCUGGAGCACGAUGCCCUGGUGUAGCCCUGUUCAGCCUCACGCCAGCCCUUCAGAGCUGGCAGGGACUCAGAAUCAUUAACUUUAAGA